CCUGAACGCUGGCGGCGUGGCUAAGACAUGCAAGUCGUACGGGGUAGCAAUACCCAGUGGCGAACGGGUGAGUAAUGUAUCGCUAACGUGCCCCCGAGUCAGGGAUAGCUGCCCGAAAGGGCAGGUAAUACCUGAUAAGACCACGACCGGGCAUCCGGUUGUGCUCAAAGCAGCAAUGCGCUCAGGGAGCGGGCGAUAUCGUAUCAGCUAGUUGGUGAGGUAACGGCUCACCAAGGCGACGACGCGUAGCCGGACUGAGAGGUUGGCCGGCCACAUUGGGACUGAGACACUG
rnacentral:rRNA from 1 species